rnacentral:sRNA from 1 species
UACCUAAGGCUCAAGCUUCGGCUUUUGUACGGUAGCAAAAACCUUGUAAGCAUACUGACCCCGUCGUUAGGAUGCUUACAAGGUCAUGCCUGGAAACUUGCAUGAGGUUCGAAAGAAUCU